CCCGCACAAGCGGUGGAGCAUGUGGUUAAUUCGACGCAACGCGAAGAACCUUACCAGGGCUUGACAUCCCCUGACCGCGUAUGAAAGUACGUUUUCACCCUCGGGUGACAGGGAGACAGGUGGUGCAUGGUUGUCGUCAGCUCGUGUCGUGAGAUGUUGGGUUAAGUCCCGCAACGAGCGCAACCCCUACGUUUAGUUGCUAACGCGUGAAGGCGAGCACUCUAGACGAACUGCCGUUGACAAAACGGAGGAAGGUGGGGAUGACGUCAAAUCAUCAUGCCCCUUAUGUUCUGGGCUACACACGUGCUACAAUGGCCGGUACAGACGGACGCAAAGCCGCGAGGUGGAGCAAAUCCUAAAAAGCCGGUCUCAGUUCGGAUUGCAGGCUGCAAUUCGCCUGCAUGAAGUCGGAAUCGCUAGUAAUCGCAGGUCAGCAUGCUGCAGUGAAUACGUUCCCGGGCCUU
rnacentral:rRNA from 1 species